rnacentral:ncRNA from 1 species
CUUAUCAAGAGAGGCUGAGGAACUGGUCCUGUGACGCCCGGCAACCGCUCAUAUUCGAGAAAGGUGCUAAUUCCUGCGGAUGCUUGCAUCCGAGAGAUGAGG